GACGAACGCUGGCGGCGUGCUUAACACAUGCAAGUCGAACGGAAAGGCCCUGCUUUUGUGGGGUGCUCGAGUGGCGAACGGGUGAGUAACACGUGAGUAACCUGCCCUUGACUUUGGGAUAACUUCAGGAAACUGGGGCUAAUACCGGAUAGGAGCUCCUGCUGCAUGGUGGGGGUUGGAAAGUUUCGGCGGUUGGGGAUGGACUCGCGGCUUAUCAGCUUGUUGGUGGGGUAGUGGCUUACCAAGGCUUUGACGGGUAGCCGGCCUGAGAGGGUGACCGGCCACAUUGGGACUGAGAUACGGCCCAGACUCCUACGGCGGGCAGCGGUGGGGAAUAUUGCACAAUGGGCGGCAGCCUGAUGCAGCAACGCCGCGUGCGGGAUGACGGCCUUCGGGUUGUAACCCGCUUUCGCCUGUGACGAAGCGUGAGUGACGGUAAUGGGUAAAGAAGCACCGGCUAACUACGUG
rnacentral:rRNA from 1 species